UACGUAGGGAGCAAGCGUUGUCCGGAAUCAUUGGGCGUAAAGCGCGCGUAGGCGGCCCCGUAAGUCCGCUGUGAAAGUCAAAGGCUCAACCUUUGAAAGCCGGUGGAUACUGUGGGGCUAGAGUCCGGAAGAGGCGAGUGGAAUUCCUGGUGUAGCGGUGGAAUGCGCAGAUAUCAGGAGGAACACCAAUAGCGAAGGCAGCUCGCUGGGACGGUACUGACGCUAAGGCGCGAAGCG
rnacentral:rRNA from 1 species